rnacentral:misc_RNA from 1 species
AAGGAUCAUUAUUGAAAUAAACCUGAUGGGUUGUUGCUGGCUCUCUAGGGAGCAUGUGCACACCUUGUCAUCUUUAUAUCUCCACCUGUGCACUUUUUGUAAACCUUUCAGGUCUAUGUUGCUUUCAUUUACCCCAAUGUAUGUUAAUAGAAUGUUGUGCCUAUAUACAACUUUCAGCAACGGAUCUCUUGGCUCUC